ACGGAGGGUGCGAGCGUUGUCCGGAAUCACUGGGCGUAAAGGGCGCGUAGGUGGCCGAGCAAGGUCGCGGUGAAAGCCCGGGGCUCAACCCCGGGUCGGCCGUGGCAACUACUUGGCUUGAGCACUGUAGGGGCGGGUGGAAUUCCAGGUGUAGCAGUGAAAUGCGUAGAGAUCUGGAGGAACACCGAUGGCGAAGGCAGCCCCCUGGGCUAACACUGACGCUCAUGCACGAAAGCGUGGGGAGCAAACAGGA
rnacentral:rRNA from 1 species